rnacentral:lncRNA from 1 species
AUAUAUUUAGCAAUAGCCACAUGACUGAUUUAAAGACAUUAUUAAAACGAGAGGGCAUACUUAAUGAUAAUAUUAGAUGUCCUUGUUCUAAUUGCAAAAACGUCCCUUUCAAACACGUCAAAGAUGUUAAACUUCAUAUUCUUAAGAGAGGGUUCAAACCUAAUUAUUGGUAUUGGACUUGUCAUGGAGAAUGUGAUCCGGAGUUGCUUGUAGAAAUUAAUAAAGACUCAGAAAACCUA